GAAAUGCGAUAAGUAAUGUGAAUUGCAGAAUUCAGUGAAUCAUCGAAUCUUUGAACGCACAUUGCGCCCGCUAGUAUUCUGGCGGGCAUGCCUGUCCGAGCGUCAUUUCAACCCUCGGGAGCCCCUUUGCGGGGGCUGCCGGUGUUGGGGAUCGCCCGCCGCCAUGGUGGACGUCCCCUAAAACGAUUGGCGGUCUCGCUGUAGCCUCCUCUGCGCAGUAGCACUUGUUCUCGCAGGCGGAGCGCGGCGCGGCCAAGCCGUUAAACCCCCAACUUUUUUACUAGGUUGACCUCGGAUCAGGUAGGAAUACCCGCUGAACUUAA
rnacentral:misc_RNA from 1 species